GAGAUGAAGACACUGGCCUCACAUGAGGUCCAGCUGAACUGGAGAAGGGGAAGCCUCUACGGAAAGAGCAGAGGGCUGAUCCUGGGCUGCCGGGGGAAAAAGGGCUCAAUCCCAGCAGGAAAGUGAAGGAGGGAAGAAAAAUGCAAUAAUUUUAGCGUAAAGAUAACUUCAUUCACAGAAAAUAUUUCAAUGGCAAGUGUUUUCGUGUCUGGACAAUUCUAGCUUCCAUGGGUUAAUGGAGACAGAGAUAGAAGUUGGAGAUAGAGUCCAGAAGGAAGUCUGGUGCCGAUAUUUUCUUAGAACUAUUUUAUCAAGCCCAGAAGAGGGUUUUCCUAUCAUUUCUCAGAACUCUGCUGCUCCAAGAACUCAGAGGACAGCCCGCAGAGGGUCAAGAAUAAAACCCUUUCUGACUUAACUCUCUGAUACUCUGAAGUGAGGGGAAUGGGGCUCGAAGUCUCCUUCGGCUACACCCCUGCCUGGAUGUUGAGAGAUGAGAGCAUCAAGCCUAGAGCCUGCUGAAAUAGAGGUCAAAGAGAUGGAAGAAGCCAGAAGAACCAGUCAGACAUGACCACAGGCAGAGAACCCACAGCCUCCCUCCCUCACCUUUCUCCCAGCUCCCAGAGAAUCCUAUUUGUUUUACAAAAUCUUCCUGUCAGACUCCCUAGGAUCAUAAUCCCCCAUCUCCCCGACUGGUGACUUCUCCCCUUACCCUUUGCAUCCCCAGGGGGCAUGGAUGUCCCCUCUCAUUGCGAUCAGCAGAAAAUCCCCACAAUCUCUGGCUACCACUUCACUCAUGCCAACACACAUGCACACUCGCCCAAGCUACUGAUAUAAUAAGGCUCAUACUGGGCCCCAGAAGCAGCAGGAGCAUCCGCAUCUUCAGGGGUUGGUCUCAUACCACCUUCUCUCAAGAGAGGUAUGACUAUGCUCUUCUUUCCUCCUUUCUCCACCCCUAGAAAGAUAUAUGAUGCACUUACAUAAUCCUGAGGAUGCUCUAAUCUGCUCCCUGGUUGAAUUCUUUGGCCAUUUCACUCAAGUUGCAUGAGUUUUGUAGGCUGUAUCAUGGAGCCGUAAAAUGCAAGAAGAGGCCACACAGACAUCUAGCUCCAAAGUCUCAUUUUAUGGAAGAAAAAAUUGAAAUCUAUACAGGUGAAUAAGAA
rnacentral:lncRNA from 1 species